UUUGGGCUUUUGAUGGUUUAUUAGAUUUUGGUGCUGUACUUGUGGAUUUUCUUUCCCUGUUUGCACAAAGUUUAAAAGCUUUCAUCAAGCAUAAAAAUACAGCCAAACGAAUGACUGGUUGAAUGUUUCUAAUCAAACUGCACCCCAAACAUACGUUUCUUACAGACAUCACCAAGUGUUUUAAUUAUCUGGCAUCGACCCGACGGUGUGUUUAGUUCACACUCUAACCGUUUUAAACGACUCAACGAGUUUAAGAUGCACGUUUGACAUCAAACAUCCACUUAUGUUCAAACUUCAUCCGUCCCAAAUUGUUGCCCUCAGGUGAAGCAGCCUGGGCUCGUGUUUCUCAUGAAGUGGAAACUGCAGCAACACCAGUGUGACUACAGAGCGAAUCCAGCCGUGGAUCAAUGCGGACCGAGGCAGAAUCGCCCUGGUUGAGCCACAAUAAGAAAUUAUGUUGGACAAAUAAAAGUGAAGCUUUUGAAAUGGGAUCACUGUCAAACAUGGUGGUGGCAGCAUCACGACGCAACAAUGGACCAUUUCCAGAUGGUUAAAUCUUGAAUACACUUAUAGUUUCAUAUUGAUAAAGAUCCAAACAGAUCUGCAGCAAACUGGGUUUUAUGAAGCUUUCAGAGCGUCUCCAACUCACAGCUUGUUAAAAGGAGAAAAAAACAAAAAAAAAAAACAAACUGAACUAUUUAUGUUUAAAAGCCAGUUCAACAGCAGGAAACAAACCAGUUAUAAAGAACUUACUGAAGCUUGUUGAAAACUGCAAAAUGUGUGGGGCACUGAUCCGAGUCGCUAUUAAACCGAUAUUAGUGGUAGCGAAUGUACAGUGUAUAGAAAAUGUUUUGGAUUUAUUUCAGAUUAGAAAUAACUUAAGGCAAGACAAGUAACCAAUAGAAACCCCAUAAAAAGUUAAACUAUGGUAAAAGGAAAACACGUAAACUAAACUGAAACGUCAAGAACCAUUUAGUCUCAUUUGUAAAGUUCAAUCAUAUAUUGUUUUUAAGCAAAGCAAGGUUUAAUUUCACUGCUCUAAAAGUCACACUCGGACCCGAUUACUGUUGGGCUUCCACAAUUAGUCAAACGUAAACAAUGCUGAACGUUCAUACCGAUUAUCAAACUUCUCUAAUCCACAGCUUACAUUCUUAAAGAGAGAGAAAAAAGGACAGACACAGUGUUAAAGUGACACUAAGAAAACUAUUAUUUAUUGAGUUUAUUUUUUUUUUCUUAAAAAACAAAACAUACACUCAUUGAGUACAGCAGAUAAAAUCUCCAAAUGUCAUUUUUGAAACGGUUGCAUUUGGAGUACAGAGCGUCAGAAUUUUUCUUUACAAUUCUACAUCUGAAUCAAAGUUGAACCGACAUUUUUCUGUUGUUUUUUUUUUCUUUUUUCUGUUUUGUUUGUUUUUUUUAUAAAUUAUGUAAAAACCUGAUUAACACAAAUUCACAGAAGAACUUGCAUGGGACAUGGAAAAAAAUAAAAUAAAAACAAAAAGAAUGAAAUAACAUGAUGCGAAUUUCAUGUUAUGUUUUUUUUUUUUUUUUAUUAUUGUACACAAUAUACAAACUGGUCCUAGGUAUUAUUUCCUCACUUAUGCUUUGCUGUCCUACUUAGAUUAAAAGGUGAAGAUAAAUAAAUAAAAGGAUCUAAGUAGCUCAAAAAAGGAUAUGAGGUAAGUGAGUAUGGAAACGCAGGUUAUAUCCAAUAAAACAAGCAAAAAAAAACCAACAAAAAACGCAAGGCCCGACAUCGUACAAAAACAAAAAUAAAAAACUGUUUUCAAACAUGAGAUUAUUGAAUCCAUGACCAUUUGCUACCAAAAGAUCAUUUCAUACAGUAACCACAUUUCUGGUAGGAUAACACUGUGAUUACGCACCUUGUGCCCAAACUAUUUUAUGUAUAUUUAUAUAUAUAUAGAUAUAUCUAUAUAUAUAUAGAUAUAGAUAUAUUAUUAUAAAAAUAAGACAAAAUUUAUUCAGCUGGUUUAUCGUCUGAAACAGGAAGAAUAAUUGGAUAAUGCGUGAAUUAACCACAGCUAACAACAGGCAUGGGGGGGGAAGAAA